GUCGAGGGGCAGCAUGGUCUUAGCUUGCUAAGGCCCGAUGGCGACCGGCGCACGGGUGAGUAACACGUAUCCAACCUGCCGUCUACUCUUGGACAGCCUUCUGAAAGGAAGAUUAAUACAAGAUGGCAUCAUGAGUCCGCAUGUUCACAUGAUUAAAGGUAUUCCGGUAGACGAUGGGGAUGCGUUCCAUUAGAUAGUAGGCGGGGUAACGGCCCACCUAGUCUUCGAUGGAUAGGGGUUCUGAGAGGAAGGUCCCCCACAUUGGAACUGAGACACGGUCCAAACUCCUACGGGAGGCAGCAGUGAGGAAUAUUGGUCAAUGGGCGCAGGCCUGAACCAGCCAAGUAGCGUGAAGGAUGACUGCCCUAUGGGUUGUAAACUUCUUUUAUAAAGGAAUAAAGUCGGGUAUGUAUACCCGUUUGCAUGUACUUUAUGAAUAAGGAUCGGCUAACUCCGUGCCAGCAGCCGCGGUAAUACGGAGGAUCCGAGCGUUAUCCGGAUUUAUUGGGUUUAAAGGGAGCGUAGAUGGAUGUUUAAGUCAGUUGUGAAAGUUUGCGGCUCAACCGUAAAAUUGCAGUUGAUACUGGAUAUCUUGAGUGCAGUUGAGGCAGGCGGAAUUCGUGGUGUAGCGGUGAAAUGCUUAGAUAUCACGAAGAACUCCGAUUGCGAA
rnacentral:rRNA from 1 species